CAUCAACAUGCGUGAUGUUAGUGAAUAUAUCUCCAUCACGACGAGCAGGAGUUAUCUGUUGUUUCCAGCACCAGCAGCAGUAGACAAUGAAUUUAUUUCCAACUUAAACUUUGGAAUGCUGCUUGUUUGGCUAUUACAACAGUACCAUCAAAUUGCUUUGUGUAAUCCGCUCUCAUUGCGCUCACCAAAUCUUGUUGAGUUGCUGCCAAAUCUAAUCAUAGUUAGUUAAUAUCCAUUU